rnacentral:rRNA from 1 species
UACGUAGGUUGCAAGCGUUGUCCGGAUUUACUGGGCGUAAAGCGCGCGCAGGCGGUCCUGAAAGUCGAAUGUAAAAGCUCCCGGCCCAACUGGGAGAGGCCGUUCGAAACUUCAGGACCUGAAGGCGGGAGAGGCAGAUGGAAUUUCCGGUGUAGCGGUAAAAUGCGUAGAUACCGGAAGGAACACCAGUGGCGAAAGCGAUCUGCUGGCCCGCCCUUGACGCUCAGGCGCGAAAGCUAGGGGAGCGACCGGG